ensembl:lncRNA
CUGGGCACCAGCAGGAGGCUGGUCCCUGAAGUCCUCAGAGUGUGAGAUGGUUCAUAUGGAACUAACAUGUCGGAGAUGUACUUUGGUGCUAGGCCAUGGAGAGACUUACACAAGCAGAGCUGGUUUAAAGUCUAUUCUCUGAGCAACAGGAAGCCAGUGCAGAGACCUGUGCACAGGACUUAUGUUCUUGUACUUCCUGGUUCUAGUCAGGACCCGAGCAGCAGUGUUCUGGAUGUACUGUUCAUUUGGAGAGGCCAGUGAGCAGGCCGUUACAGUAGUCUAACCUACUGGAGAUAAAUGUAUGGAUAAGUCUCUCCAAGUCUGGUUUUGACACUAUACCUGUGAUUUUUGCAAUGUUUUAGAUGGUGAAAGGUUGCAGAUGUUACUGAUUUGAUGUGGCUGUUAAAGUUCAAGUCUGAGUCCAUUAUUAACCCUGGAUUUCUAGCCUGAUUUGAAGAUUUUAGAGAGAGAGACUGGAGGUGACUGCAGACACAUAAUUGUCACAGGAGCAACCCAAUUCAAUGUAUUAUUCUCCUUUCUAAAUCAAUCCUAAUCCUGUUGCUUGCAGUAACAUGUUUCUUGUAUGUAGGCAGAGCAGCUACAGAGGUACAGUCGCACCUCCUCCAUUACAUCCGAAGACUCUGUUCGCUUCCCAAGCACCAGUUCUCUGGACCUGGACUGCAAAGAGGCAGAACAAUCAAAAGAGGUGGAGCUCUCAACCUCUGCUCCCACUAAAGAACCCUUUCUUCGUAUUGGAUCCAAACGAAUGGGCAAAAACUUCAACCCCUUUGCCUCAUCGUCCUCAAAGACACAGGGGGCAGAAAAGGAGCCCAGCAGACUGCUGCAGCUGACCAAGCCCAAGAAAGACAAGAAGGACAAGAAGAAAAAGAAAGGAGAGGCUCCACCCACAGGGACUGGCUCAGUGUCAAAUUUCCAGAAAGGUGGCGACAAUUUCUCCUGCUGAAGGUGCUAACUGAACUGUGCUGUGGAGUUGUUUUACAUUUGGAGACACAUGUCUCUUCACUUGCUUUAAUAUACGGCAACGGACUUGGUCUGAAAAUAAUGACAUCUCCCAGGCCACUUAACAUGUGGGAAAUCAUAUUGAAUGCCUUUGGAUCCUUGCCUAAGGGAGUUGUAAUGGAAGUAGGAUUGGUUUUAUCUGCUGUGAAGAAUGUUAGCAGAAAGACAUUACAAAGUGCUUUAUUGACUCCUAGAAGCUUUAACAUGUGCAUUUCUUUGAAGUGUGCUAACCCUAUGUCUUUGGUGCUUGGAAAGACUUCUUGGAGAGAAAUGGAGCAGUCUAACCAGACAUGUGUGAGGUGGGGUUUUGUAAAGCAUAGUGCCACUAAUACAUCUAAUGCUGUCCACACUGUGUGCUGGGGUCACCCACUGUGGUCAGCCACAUGCUCCACAGCAUUAAUCAUGUGCCUUACCUAUCACAAAGGACCUUUUUUGACAAUCACCAAAAUCAGUCAUUGAAAAGCACUUUAGAGAUAAUAUGCACCACUGUGUUCUCAGUUUGGUAAAGGUAUGUUUUGAGAGUUGUACUAUGUUGAUAAUGUAGAAAAUGUUCUUAGGUUACCAAGACAAUCGCAUAAUAAAAAGAGCAGGGCUUUUUGAUCAAAAUUGAAUGCUAUCUUUGAUUAAUUGUAGAUAUGAAACAAAAAGGCAACCAUUUUUCUGGAAAAGGUUUUCUGCAGUAUAGCUAGAAAUAAGUCUGCCUAAUCACGAACACUGGUUCUCCCUGUCACUUGGAUUAUUCUAGAUAUUUGACCAAAUAAUGUGUCUGGCUGCAAAUUAAGGAAUAACUCUGAAGGUUUUUAGUUUUUAUCCUGUGCCUUUGAUCAGUACAUUUCAUAAUGGUUUUGUUUUGCAUACUCAGCAGUGACAUGCACUUUACAGGACGUAAAGGAGGAUGGAGAUGGAUGCAACAGCGCUGUGUAUAUAGUUCAACCUGAAACACAUAACUGAGAUCCGUUUCUAUAGCAGCACGUGCUUUGAUAUCACAUUGGGGCUCAUCCAUCGGCCGUUACUCAGAAGCAGCACAUUGAUUUUCUCCUACUUUCUCCAGAAUGCAGCUGAGAGGGAGCCGCAGCACUGGGCAGGAGAAUAAUAUUUCAGCCCAGGGUCAUUUCCCACCUUUCUGCUGAGAGGAGCACAUUUGUUUCACUGUGAAACACACAGUAUUUGAAUAGCCAUUCUGGUUUUAGGGAGGUGGAAGACCUCACACGAGCACAAAAUAUGACUCUUCCCAUUAAAACAUUGCCAUUUGAAUUUAAUCAACUUGCAUAACUAUUUCCCGGACACAAUGACUGUAGAGCUAUGCAAGUUUAAAGCAUAACUAAUCAAUCUGAAAUAGAAAAAUGUUGUUGUUAUUGACCACCACCAGGUUUCUACUGUAAAUUAUAAAACUGAUUGUUCUUUACAAAAUUAGAUGAUUAUUAAUCAAAUUUACCUUACCAUACAAUUCACACGAUCAGUGACACAGGAGGGAUUUCCAGCUGUUUUAAAAUGGGCAAAAACAAAUGUAUAAAAACAUCAAUAUUAUUUAUUAUUUUUGCGACCCAUUAGUUUUUCCUGUAGAAUAUUAUUCAUUUUUAUUAAUAAUAUUUUAAAUCUGACAAAAAGAUGGCCCUUUAUAGCUCUGUUGUUGAGGAGUCAGGUUUUCAAAACAUUGGAUGUGGAUUAUAACACGAGGUUGUGCGAGAUUUCAUGAGCGUGCCGUAAAGGAUUCCUCUCAUUCCUAUUGUUCUCAUGUUGUGCUAAUUAACUGGUGGCAAUGCAUUUGAAAAAGCUUUCCAUUAAUCUUACAACUGAUGCACUGUGUAUUAAGGCUUUUUGAACACGUUUUUGUACUAAAACAGAAGGUACAAACCUGAUUUUUCUUGUGUAUAAAAUUUAAAAGGGCAACGCAACAAAAAAGGUGUAAAUAGAUUUUCUGUACAAAUAUGAACUUCCAAAGUAUUGACAGUUUUUUGUUGGAUGAUUGUUUUAAUAAGUAAGAAAGCUUUAUUUAUCUGUUCCUAGAUUCAAAUGUACAGUAUUGGACUUCCCUCAAUUAAACUAUGCAGUUUGACAC